UCACAAACGACUCUCGGCAACGGAUAUCUCGGCUCACGCAUCGAUGAAGAACGUAGCAAAAUGCGAUACUUGGUGUGAAUUGCAGAAUCCCGUGAACCAUCGAGUUUUUGAACGCAAGUUGCGCCCGAAGCCAUCCGGCCGAGGGCACGCCUGCCUGGGCG
rnacentral:rRNA from 9 species